AUUGAACGCUGGCGGCAUGCUUUACACAUGCAAGUCGAACGGUAACAGGGAGCUUGCUCCGCUGACGAGUGGCGAACGGGUGAGUAAUGCAUCGGAACGUACCGUGUAAUGGGGGAUAACGUAGCGAAAGUUACGCUAAUACCGCAUACGCCCUGAGGGGGAAAGUGGGGGACCGCAAGGCCUCACGUUAUACGAGCGGCCGAUGUCGGAUUAGCUAGUUGGUGGGGUAAAGGCCUACCAAGGCGACGAUCCGUAGCGGGUCUGAGAGGAUGAUCCGCCACACUGGGACUGAGACACGGCCCAGACUCCUACGGGAGGCAGCAGUGGGGAAUUUUGGACAAUGGGGGCAACCCUGAUCCAGCCAUGCCGCGUGAGUGAAGAAGGCCUCGGUGUAAG
rnacentral:rRNA from 1 species